rnacentral:rRNA from 1 species
UACCAGCACCCCGAGUGGUCGGGACGUUUAUUGGGCCUAAAGCAUCCGUAGCCGGUUCUACAAGUCUUCCGUUAAAUCCAGCUGCUUAACAGAUGGGCUGCGGAAGAUACUAUGGAGCUAGGAGGCGGGAGAGGCAAGCGGUACUCGAUGGGUAGGGGGUAAAAUCCGUUGAUCCAUUGAAGACCACCAGUGGCGAAGGCGGCUUGCCAGAACGCGCUCGACGGUGAGGGAUGAAAGCUGGGGGAGCAAACCGG